AUUUGGGGGAAUGAAGUUAUAUAUUACACGCCGUUUUUUCGCGCUGUAGAUAUAUACACAUCGACUAUGUCGUAUAAAGUUCUAAAUAGAAGAUUGAUUAUGACAGAUUUCUAUUUAUGUGUCUCGACCAAUUCUUGUGCCAGCAGUCGCGGCAACACAAGUGAGACUAGUGUUAUUCAUCUUUAUUAGGUUUAAAGGGUACCUAGACGGUAUUUCCAGCCUGUAUAAGGUACAGAAAUACUAGAGUUUUAUUUGAGAGGUAAAUAUUAGGACUAUUGGUGUAAAGAUGAAAUUUUUUGAUACUAAUGGGACGGAUAACGGCGAAGGCAAUCCUCUAUGUAUAAACUGACGUUAAGGGACGAAGGCUUGGGGAGCGAAUAGGAUUAGAUACCCUAGUAGUCCAGGCAGAAAAUUAUGAAUGUUAUAGACUAAGAAUAAAUUGGUGUAUAAAUGAAAGUGUAAGCAUUCCACCUCAAGAGUAAUGUGGCAACGCAGGAACUGAAAUCAU
rnacentral:rRNA from 1 species